GUCGAACGGUAACAGGGAGCUUGCUCCGCUGACGAGUGGCGAACGGGUGAGUAAUAUAUCGGAACGUACCCAAGAGUGGGGGAUAACGUAGCGAAAGUUACGCUAAUACCGCAUACGAUCUAAGGAUGAAAGCAGGGGACCUUCGGGCCUUGUGCUCCUGGAGCGGCCGAUAUCUGAUUAGCUAGUUGGUGAGGUAAAGGCUCACCAAGGCGACGAUCAGUAGCUGGUCUGAGAGGACGACCAGCCACACUGGAACUGAGACACGGUCCAGACUCCUACGGGAGGCAGCAGUGGGGAAUUUUGGACAAUGGGCGCAAGCCUGAUCCAGCAAUGCCGCGUGAGUGAAGAAGGCCUUCGGGUUGUAAAGCUCU
rnacentral:rRNA from 1 species